rnacentral:rRNA from 11 species
CAAGUUUGAGCGGUGGAUCACUCGGCUCGUGUGUCGAUGAAGAGUGCAGCCAACUGUGUGAAUUAAUGUGAACUGCAUACUGCUUUGAAUAUCGACAUCUUGAACGCAUAUUGUGGCUACGGGAUAUUUUGUGGCCACGCCUGUCCGAGGGUCA